rnacentral:rRNA from 1 species
CCUACGGGAGGCUGCAGUGGGGAAUAUUGGACAAUGGGGGGAACCCUGAUCCAGCCAUGCCGCGUGUGUGAAAAAGGCCCUCGGGUUGUAAAGCACUUUCAGUGAGGAAGAACGCCUGGUGGUUAAUACCCAUCAGGAAAGACAUCACUCACAGAAGAAGCACCGGCUAACUCCGUGCCAGCAGCCGCGGUAAUACGGAGGGUGCGAGCGUUAAUCGGAAUUACUGGGCGUAAAGCGCGCGUAGGUGGCUUGAUAAGCCGGUUGUGAAAGCCCCGGGCUCAACCUGGGAACGGCAUCCGGAACUGUCAAGCUAGAGUGCAGGAGAGGAAGGUAGAAUUCCCGGUGUAGCGGUGAAAUGCGUAGAGAUCGGGAGGAAUACCAGUGGCGAAGGCGGCCUUCUGGACUGACACUGACACUGAGGUGCGAAAGCGUGGGUAGCAAACAGGAUUAGAUACCCUUGUAGUC